GUUGGAUCCCCUCACUUCAGUUUGACCACACUUCAGCCAGCAUUUAACCUUCUCUCUCAGUGUCACUCAUCCAGGGACAAGAAUAUCAGGGGUGCUCAGAUUUGGUGUGCUAAGGGAUGUGCCAGCUACAGCAACAUGGUCUGCAUUAGGAUCUGAAUCCCUUCCUCAGGCUUCCAGUGGGCCCAUCCUUCUCCCUGUCUCCAAGGUUGCUUUAUAACAGUAAACAAUAUUCAACCAAUAACAAAGUUCUAAUGGGCUUCUUUGAAGAGCUGACUAGAGGACAGCUUUGCUAUUGAAGAUCCCCAGUGAUAGCUUGUGGGAUAUGUAAGAGGCCGGCCUGCUUGAUCUUGC
rnacentral:lncRNA from 1 species